rnacentral:lncRNA from 1 species
AAAAUAUUUAUUUAUAAUAGUAAGGAAUAUUUAUAAUCAUAUAAAGAAGAACAAUCAAGGUCAAAUGGAUAGGCUUGGGUCAAAAGUUAAGAUUAACUGACCCAUGACGAAAGUGGAGAAUGAUCGGUUCGAGUCAAAGAUCAAGAUUGAUUGGUCUAGGUUGAAGGUCGAGACAAAUGGACUCAGGUUAAAGGUUAAGAUUAACCAGUUUGGACCGAAGGAGGCCAACUCAAGGCGAAGGUUGUGAGGAGCUGAUCAGGCAACAUAUCGACACUGGUCAAAGAUCGAGACAGACCAAUUGGAU